AUACUUUUCUGGGCGUGGAGAAACCAUGAUCGCGAAGGCGGUUUUCCAAGGGUGAGGUUCAUCCAUUGCACUCCGGGUAUGCUGACCCCUGCGACUUCCCCAAGUGCGGGAAACUCGACUGCAUGGUUUGUGACAGUUGGGGACUGCGUUCGCGCUUCUUUAA